UACGUAGGGUGCAAGCGUUGUCCGGAAUUACUGGGCGUAAAGCGCACGUAGGCGGACAUUUAAGUCAGGGGUGAAAUCCUGGAGCUCAACUCCAGAACUGCCUUUGAUACUGGGGAUCUCGAGUCCGGAAGAGGUGAGUGGAACUCCGAGUGUAGAGGUGAAAUUCGUAGAUAUUCGGAAGAACACCAGUGGCGAAGGCGGCUCACUGGUCCGGUACUGACGCUGAGGUGCGAAAGCGUGGGGAGCAAACAGG
rnacentral:rRNA from 1 species